rnacentral:rRNA from 1 species
GCCGCGCCGGGUGAAUUAAUGUCUGGGAAACUGCCUGAUGGAGGGGGAUAACUACUGGAAACGGUAGCUAAUACCGCAUAACGUCGCAAGACCAAAGUGGGGGACCUUCGGGCCUCAUGCCAUCAGAUGUGCCCAGAUGGGAUUAGCUGGUAGGUGGGGUAACGGCUCACCUAGGCGACGAUCCCUAGCUGGUCUGAGAGGAUGACCAGCCACACUGGAACUGAGACACGGUCCACACUCCUACGGGAGGCAGCAGUGGGGAAUAUUGCACAAUGGGCGCAAGCCUGAUGCAGCCAUGCCGCGUGUGUGAAGAAGGCCUUCGGGUUGUAAAGCACUUUCAGCGGGGAGGAAGGCGGUGAGGUUAAUAACCUUGUCGAUUGACGUUACCCGCAGAAGAAGCACCGGCUAACUCCGUGCCAGCAGCCGCGGUAAUACGGAGGGUGCAAGCGUUAAUCGGAAUUACUGGGCGUAAAGCGCACGCAGGCGGUCUGUCAAGUCGGAU